rnacentral:rRNA from 1 species
GGAUUAGAUACCCUGGUAGUCCACGCUGUAAACGAUGAGAACUAGACGUUGGGCGGAUAACCGCUCGGUGUCGCAGCUAACGCAUUAAGUUCUCCGCCUGGGGAGUACGGCCGCAAGGCUGAAACUCAAAGGAAUUGACGGGGGCCCGCACAAGCGGUGGAGCAUGUGGUUUAAUUCGAUGCAACGCGAAGAACCUUACCUGCCCUUGACAUCCUGGGAAGGUCCUAGAGAUAGGACUGUGCCUUCGGGAACCCAGUGACAGGUGCUGCAUGGCUGUCGUCAGCUCGUGCUG